AAAUUAUUUACGAAUACGAAUGCCGAUAGUCACGCCUCUCUCAUAUAUGUAAGUACAAUGUCAGCCCCAGCCACUCCCACAUAAUAGUAGGAGUACUCAAGAUUAUAGUACGUGUUAGCAAAACCAUAACGAAGGCCCUGGACAACACUUGCUGAUCAUAAAAAUUGUUGAAGCCAAGCAAACUACAGAUGGACCACCCCUGGGACCCGCAGGCACGGAACGUUGAGAGACGAGCAGCAGAUGUGGUUGUGAAAAGCCAAAUAAGAACACCAAUUCUCGGCAUGAACAUGCUCUGGCGGGGUCUGGGAGUCAGGAGGUAGAAAUCAGACGAAAAUUUCCACGUUGAUGAGCCGGAUUCAUUUCAGUUGCGUGCCAAAGUCAACGAAAGGUGCGAAUCGAGGGCGUUCUGUCUGUGGAUGCGUCUCUCUGUGUAUGUGCGUUUGUGGGCGUGGCAGAGCACAUAGAGUGGAAGAAGUUACCUAGCCAGGCCAGAGCAAUACGAAACUUACAGUUGACCUGAAGGACAUCAUUAGCACGGACUCUGGCAGCUGUCAUUUGGCUCGGAAAUUACGCAUAUCCUUUUGAGAAAUUGUAGCGGAGAGCGGCAUAAUGAAGUCAAAGCUGAAGAACUGACAAACUACGACAAACACUUGAGAAUUAUCCUCAACCGGAAAGGACAAACUUUCCGCCAACUAGCGGUAAGGUGUUGUGUCCUCCUUUCGAAUGCCUUCAGAUUAGCCACACGGAACGCCAUGGCACGGCACGACCCAUAUCGGUUUGGCUCUAGAGCGGGCUUCGGGCUAAUGUCAUCAAAUGACAUGUCACUCAGUCUUAAGCCAAACCAAAAGGAGAGCCGAUUGCCUACACACAAACACCCAUAUCCUUUUUGGCAUACACCGAUAAGGAAGGACGGAAGUAUGGAAGCGGAUCCUGGGCUGAAACAAGCUUAUGCAAAAUUAAAUCAUUAAAAUGCAAGACAGAUGAAAUUUUCUUAAACUGUUUUGCGCACGAGUUGAUGCCAAG
rnacentral:lncRNA from 1 species